AGGGAUGUAGCUCAGCAGUAGAGCACUUGCCUAAUAUGUAUGAGGCCUGAGUUCAAUCCAUAGUAUCACCA
rnacentral:tRNA from 1 species